GCAGAAUGUAAGAUAAAUAUUCAAAGUCGAUACCAAUGAAUAAUUGGUUUUUGGCAUUGUUGAUGAGAAUGAUAAAGGAUGUACAAGGAAGUGAGGAAUGUAGAAAUAACUCGGGUUUUCCAGUGCUUGCCUUUAUCUUCUUAGCAUUCAAAUCAUGCCUACAUCAAAUCCUUUGAAGCAGCUAGCAACAAGAAAUUCCGUAGUAAAAAUUACCACACGUUUGCCUUUUCUUGAACGAAUUUGAUGAUCUAUCGGAGAACUUUCUUUGGUUAUUGUUGUACGUUAUUGGUAGUCAUUUCAAGAGCAGAAGAAGAUGAUAACGAAAGGGAAUGAGUUAGGUUCGUAUGACAAGGAGGCUGCGUGGUUGUGCAUACACUUCUUGUACAUGACUAGGAUUUCGACUUCCGUUGCAUCGUUCUUGGUGGCAGUGGUUGUAUGCUGACGGAGAUCGUCGUAACCAAAUAUUGCAUGGGGAGUAGACAUUUGAGCUCUAGGAAACGGUUUGGAAACCUUCACCAUGGGGACGAUCAAGAUUAAUGUGGAUGCUGCUUUUCCAGAAAAGACAAGCUCCUAUCGCAUGAUGAUGGUUGCUAAGGAUUCUCGUGUGUGUGGUGGAGAGUGCGGGAAUUUGCAAGUCGUCUCCGCCCAGUGGAAUGAGAAGCCCAAGAUAUCCAAAUGGCGACGAUCAAAACCCGAGCAAAGAGGAUUAGGGUUUGGUAAAAUGGGGCAGCCGAGUAAAGAGCCAUGUAAGAAACAAGCUUGCAAUAUUCAGUCCUGCCUCUCCAAGAACAAUUUCCUUCCCCAAAACUUCUUGAGCCAGAUGCUUUAGGCGAGCUCCCGAUGAAGUUCUUAAUUUGGUACUGCUCCCGUUUGUGCAGGAUUUAUAAUGGUGAUUCCGACGAGAUCCAAUGAGCUAUAAAACUUACGACCGCGAACUCAGAGCUAUUGAAGUAAGGCUGAUGGUAGCACAUUCUGACUAACCCAAUUCGAUCAUAGUUUAUAGCAUAUUUAUUCACAAAAUUUAGUGCUACAUCGUUUCAACAAAAUAUUUUUUUUUCGUGAAAGUAGUAUAUUCGUAAAUUAGAAUUUUCAGUAAUAUAAUUUCCAAUUUCAAUUAAACAAAUAAAAUUCAGAAACCGGAAUUUUGUAAACCGAAAAAAAUAGCGAAAAUUUUGUUCCGAUUUUCUAACCCUAACCACAUCCCUCAUUUCAUUUCCUUUCCUUUUUCUCAAUCCCCAAUUUCGAUUUGAAUUCCUGACAAACAUUUAAUUAAAAUCUAUUUUGUUCUCCCCCCCACCCGCUGCAGAUUUGAUAGAGUGGGAUUGUUUUUCUGUUCGUAAAUUCGUGUUAUGCUAUCGAAAAAAAUAUCUUUCUUAUUCAGCAAAUGCGAAGAAAUUGUUAAGAAUCAAAGAUCCAAGCUAGAAUCAUAAGUUUCAGAAUUCCGUAGCAGGGGAGGAUUUGCAGAGAAAAUGGGUGUGGGGGUAAAAUAGUAAAUACACUAAAGUCAACAUUUUUCCAUUUGUCCUAGUAUUUAUUUGUUGAAAAAAGUGUUUUCGAUCUGUUAACUAAUUUUCUUAGAGUUAUUUGCAAUGUGGUGUUUCUCACUCGUUUACUAGUGUACACGAUUUUCGUUUUUUAUGUUGAGAAGUAUGUGAUGAAUUUAACAAACCAAGUGGAGGUCGUUUGCGGUCGUCCUUCGUUUAGUUUGUUAAGUUCGUUACUGAGUAUUUUCAACUAAGCGAAUCGAUAUAUUAAUGCUUGUGUUACUGAUGUAGUAGUUACUACGGUUGAUUUACGUGUGAUUGAUAUAUUAUUGGAUAUGAUUCUGAAAGUAACAGUUGGAAUUUGGAGUUUAUAAUAUGUUUUCGAUCAAUAUAUACUUACUAUCUUUGGUGAAGCAGGAGAGCAGCUCAUCGAUGCUAAUAAGUCGGCCAAAUUUUAAUCGUUAAACUAUUUGGCUUGCUUUCUCAGGUAUGUUCGUUUUUUCGUGUUUUGGAGUAUUGAAUUUAAAGAAAGUUGUUCGUGGCUGUGAUUUUGGUUAACUAUUUCGUUAUAUCUCGAUAAUGCUGUGUAGAUUAUAGGUUUUGGGAUUUCGUAAGCUUGUCAAAAUAUUAUGCUAACCCAUCACGGUCUCGUAUAUAUCCUAGUUAAGAACUCGAAUCGAGUAUAGGAACAUAUAUAUGGUUGGAUCGAUGAAAGGUUCGGUUUAUGUAACUCAUAAUUACACCGGAACUUCAGUUCAUACACGUGGAGAUAGAAACUAAAAUAUCAUUGAAUUAGGCAUAUUUUUAUUUGAACUCGAGUUGAAAAAUCGUAUCAGUUACGUCGGAUGUAUUUUAUUUUUUUUCGUUGAUUGUGCAGUUGCCGUAAACAUGCUAAUGACUAUUAUCAAGAUUAUUACGUGUCGUACACGUUAAUUGACCC